UACAGAGGUCCCAAGCGUUUGUUCGGAUUCAUUGGGCGUAAAGGGUGCGUAGGUGGCGCGCUAAGUCAGGUGUGAAAUUUCGGAGCUUAACUCCGAAACUGCAUUUGAUACUGGCGUGCUUGAGGACUGGAGAGGAGACUGGAAUUUACGGUGUAGCAGUGAAAUGCGUAGAGAUCGUAAGGAAGACCAGUGGCGAAGGCGGGUCUCUGGACAGUUCCUGACACUGAGGCACGAAGGCCAGGGGAGCAAACGGG
rnacentral:rRNA from 1 species